rnacentral:rRNA from 1 species
UACGUAGGUGACAAGCGUUGUCCGGAUUUACUGGGCGUAAAGAGCGCGCAGGCGGUCGAUCAAGUCGAGUGUGAAAGCCCCCCGGCUCAACUGGGGGAGGGUCAUUCGAUACUGAUCGACUCGAAGGCAGGAGAGGGUAGUGGAAUUCCCGGUGUAGUGGUGAAAUGCGUAGAUAUCGGGAGGAACACCAGUGGCGAAGGCGACUACCUGGCCUGUUCUUGACGCUGAGGCGCGAAAGCUAGGGGAGCAAACGGGGAUUAAGAAACCCGUAGUAACUC